GAGCCCAGCACCGAAUCCUUCACCAUCUCGGUGACAGGAAAUGUGGUGUUUAGGCCGUACCUUGUCCCGACACGUCUCUCCUCAAGUCCACUUGAUUGUGGCCCCAGGCCCAGAGAGGGUGUAAGGCCCGUGGAGGCGAGACGUUCGGUACCUGGUGCGUCCUUAGAGUCGGGUUGUUUGGGAAUGCAGCCCUAAGCGGGUGGUAAACUCCAUCCAAGGCUAAAUACCAGCACGAGUCCGAUAGCGAAGAAGUACCGCGAGGGAAGGUUGAAAAGAACUUUGAAGAGAGAGUUCAAGAGUACGUGAAACCGCUGAGAGGCAAACUGGUGGAACUGAAAUGGUCCCGAGGAAUUCAGCCGUUGGUCGUUGCACAGUCUUUGGUGAUUGAUCUAACGACGGCGCCAUUGAAUGACGUUUCGAUCAUCGGUGCACUUUCCUCGCCUGGGCCCGACCACGACCGGUGAGCUGAUCUGUCUGUCGUGCUUGGAAGAUAGCGCCGUCUUCGGAAGGCGUGUUAUAGACAGGCAUACGGAGCAGUCGGCGCACUGGAUGAUAGUGCCUGCCCAUCUGGGCUCAUAUGGUGGUUGUUUUGUUGGCGAGUUCUGAUGUCACUACUUCGGUAGAGUCGUUAGACUCUGUUGGCAUUAUGGCUGUCCUCUAUGAUUGGCACUGUUAAGUCUGUGGUUGUGAAGUAGGUAGUCCACCUGACCCGUCUUGAAACACGGACCAAGGAGUCUAACAUGUGCGCGAGUCAUUGGGUUCACGAAACCUAAAGGCGCAGUGAAGGUAAAGAUCUGUUUUGGCAGAUUGAGGUGGGAUGCCGGGUUACGCGCCCGGCCGCACUACCGGCCCGUUCUAUAUGUCUUUCAUAGGAGCGGAGCAAGAGCGUACACGUUGGGACCCGAAAGAUGGUGAACUAUGCUUGCGCAGGUCGAAGCCAGA
rnacentral:rRNA from 1 species